UCUGUUUUCAUAGGGCUUCCUUCUUACAUGAUAAAAAGCCUAAAUCUCUCCUCCUCCUCCUCCUUUAUCUCUCUCUCUCUCAACUCAACUCAACUCUCACGGUCGGGCUCGGAUUCGCUUGGUGCAGGUCGGGAACCAAUUUGGCUGACACAGCCACACGUGCCCCCUUUUUCUUUAUUGGUUUGUGAGCAGGGAUUGGAUCCUGCCUUGCAUCAACUGAAUCGGAGCCCCCGACCGUGCACUAAUCCAUACUCACUUAUCCAAUCAGCAGAUCUGGAAUAUACAUAUAUCUCCUUCUCUUUUACAUUCUUUUUCUUUGAAUCUUGAAAUCUGUUGUUAUGUUGAUCUGAUUUCACCCUUUUUUAUAAUCUUUAAUCUCUGUUUUGUUGGCCCCAAUCUUUGUUUUAGUUUUGAAUUUAAAGAUCUAGGGCUUGAAAUGAUAGUGAUUUUGUUGGUGUAAUCAGUUCUAAGAUUUAUUAAAUCUGUUGUAACAGUUAAUUCUUAUGCUUUGAUUGUUUUAAUUUUGGAUAGGUUGCGACGAUGAUGAGAUUCAAAGUGAACGGAUUUUAACUCGUAAAAAGGAUGACGAUGAUUAAGUUAAGUUAGUUGUGCAAAAGAGAUGAAGAGAAGAUUUAUUGGAAACAUGUGAACUGAAGAAGAUUCUUUUAUUUAGUGUUUCAAUUUUUGUUCUUUUCCAUUUUGAGAUAAUGUAAUGUUCUGAAUUUGUUAAAGAGAACAAAUGAUGUGGAUUGUGGAAGUAGUAAAGAAACAGAACCAAUUCGAUUAGUAC